rnacentral:lncRNA from 10 species
AGGUCACUGAAGAAUUUAGAAGUCCAGUUUCCUGUGGUAGCCUUUAGAACCACUUUGGGGCUGCAAAGAGUGACAAAUCACACAAAGACAGAGAGUAGGCUGUGUAGCAGACAACACUGACCUGGUUUUGCAGGGACUGGAGAUACGCUGGGGUUGGUAUGGAUCAGCAAGAGGCUGCUGCUAAUGGGAACAGGGAGGGAAGGCUCAACCCCAUUCCCGUAUUUCCCUGAUUCUCCUCUCUAUAUAUCGCUGGUCUCACUCACCUCCCCCAGGCUAUAUACUGUUAGACCCCCUAGUCCGAUGGGGAACACAGGCCGUCCUGAGGGAUCCAGGGCAAUGGGCUGAACCAGCUUGCGAGCACCUCCCGCCAUUUUCUUUUUCUUGCAUGUUUUCUUCAGAACUGAAACGCAAAUCUGGGGUCACCCACUUUAGGCCCCUUCCAAUGUUGAAGGGAAGGGAUAAAUUUGCACGUGAAUGGUGAGGGCAAUAAGCCAAUCCUGGUUUUAUAUACUUACUGAAUGGGCAUAUGGGGCUUUCGCCCAAAGCCCUGAGUAGCUUUCUAACCUGCCCAGAUUAGUGCUUAGGAGCCAAAGGCCUUAUACUUUUUAAGGCCUCUUAUUUCAUCUGUAAGAUCAGAAAUUUACCAAGCCAGCAGUGUGCUCCAAAGGCCACCUAGCCCAUUUCCCUGCCUCUAGGAAAGACUAAAUGGAAUGCAACCCAGAGAGUUGGGGGAAGGGGGAAGUCUCAGUCUGCUCCCCUUGCAUUUAACGAAGUCUAGCUCGAAUUUCUCCACCCAAAGUGGCUCUAAUACAUUUGACAUUUGUUUUCUCAAGGGCUCCUAGGGCUCCUUAAGAACCAGAUGAGACUCUAAGUACAUCUGCAGCUGUGUGUGUCUGUCAGUUAGUACCAGGUCUAACUGUCAUUAGUAGGUGAGUCACUGGGGCAACUGAUAUCAUCUCCCCAAAGUACCUUCCAGUUUGUUGUUCUCUUUGCCUUUUUCUUUUUUCUCCUUCUUAGUUUUCUUCCCAAAUGGUUCCUCAGCCCCAGUGCUGGGCCCUGAAAUAGGCCCAGCUCCCUGUAUAGUUCCCACAGAGCUGGCCACACCAUAAGUCAGGGGCAAACUGGAACUGUGGGAAGGAGCUGCAGCCUGUACUUCCCCUUCAGUUAGAGCCUGAAGCUGGAGGAGCUUCUUUAGCAAGUACCUGAGAUCAGGAAGGAAAGGAGCAGAGAAAUGAACUUCCGUAUUGUCUCAAUUCAGUAUUUUACUCAAGUACUGGGAAAAGCCAGAAUUAUAUACAAAGAUUACUAUACUCAUAAAAGAAAGGUUCUUAUUAGGCCCUAUGAAUCAUAAAGCCCUGGAGGAUAAUCAAUACUUCAAGAGGCCAAGGAUAAGAACUGUAGCUUAUCUCUUGCAUCUGGACGGUUCCUCUACCUUGAUGUUGGACGGUGUUAGGCUUCUGAAAGGCACAUUAUUUACACAUGUAUAUAUACCCAUUGUGCUUUGCACAGAAUAGUACGUACAGAAUAAAUAUUUGUAGAACGAGAGGCAGUUGCUUUUAUCACUUGGCUUUUAUAAUUGGGCCAUAAGAUUAAAUAAUCUUAGUAAGAUUAUUUAUUAGAUGUGGCAAGAUGGCUUUUUCAGAAAGAUGAGUAGAGGAGCUGUCUCAUCGCCAUGGCCCAACAUAACUUGGGUGUGCAGGCACCAAUGCCUCAGGCUGUAAGUUUCUCUGUGCUUGAUCAAGUGGCCAAGGGGCUGUGCGAUACGCAUCAAUCCCACUGGGAAAAAAAGUCUCCAGAGCAGUAACACCAUUAUCAAUCACCAAAUCAAUCACCAAAAAGGUGAUGCUGAACACAAAAUGAAGCCAGCUCACCUUCUUUCUUCUUUUGCUUUAAGAAAUUUUUCCUCAAGACGAGCAAUUUCAUCACAAAUAGCAGCAUUUUCCUUUAAGUAAAAAUGUGAAUAUAAUAACAUAAAAUGAAUAAAAAAAUCACAUUAUUAUGCUGGGAAGAGGAUCCAUAUUUCAAACCAAAAAAGCUUGUAUUACUGAGAAGAAGGAGCUAUUCGACCGUGUGACAAACUAUAAAUAAAUCCAUAGAUAAAGGUAGUCAGGUUCUACUAUGGACAGGGUAUAGCUAUGUAAUUUAUUAUCCAAUCCGGGACAUCUUUGAGUGAAAAGGGGGUACUAUUAAUGCUUAUGCCAGAACAAUACGGUGAACCAGGACUGUCCUGGGCAAGCCAAGAUUAAUGGUCACCCUAAUUAGUAUAGCCUUUGGCAAAGAAAAAGGCAUACUGCUUAAAUCCUUAUAUGCUUAAAUUAAAUACUAUAAAUAUGAAAACUGUCUAUUCCCAAGUGCCUCAACUCUUGAAAAACUUACAAAGCCAGUCUAACCCAAAUAGAGAAAAACUGGACAGAACAAAAUCAAAUUUAGUGUGUAAAAUUCUUAAACUUCACAAUCUACUUAUACGAAUUCAAGUAUUAUCUUUUUUCUUUUUUUUUUUUUUUUUUUUGUAAAUGAUGACUCAAUCUAUCUCCCAAGCACCAAUCCUGAAGGGAAUGCUGAAUCUGAAUGCCCCCAUAGGUGGAACUUCAAACUCUCAAUGUUCAAAACAACAUCGCUUUUUCUUCACAAAAUCUUCAUUAUGUAUUUGAUGGAACCAAUAUCCUUGAAAUAACAUAAAUUCCAAGCUUUAGGUACCUUUGACGUAUAGGGGAUAAAAGAAAGGGAACAGUCAAUCAGAUGCUAAGUUCUCUUAGUUUUACUUUUCUUGUUUCUCUCCAGUGCAAAUAGCAAGCAAUACACAUAGCAAGUGCUGAAUAAGUGCUUUUGGAAUGUGUAUUCUAAUUUCUGAACCUUUCCUUAUGCUUCCAAAAAUGCUGAGAGACGUUCAAGCUUUUGGUAGAGAGAAGAGAUGAACUGUUGACUUGGAUGUGGGGGGACAUUUGAGGACUCCACCCCUAUUUCCAAGCACUGAGGCAAGCCAAACUAUUCUAAUAUAAAGUUAUGGCUGGCAAGCUAUAUUAAGUUUAUUCACUCAAUAAAUCCAGUGCUUCUACAAUAAAAGAAAGGAAGAAACACUUGGAACACUCAAAGGUUAGAGGGGGGAAAUUACUGACAGUUUCAUGUACCUCUUUGGGCAAAGGGUCAGUUAUGGGGAUUUGAGGUGCUCAGAAAAUAGUCUGUGUACUGGAAGUCAUAAAACGGAAUCAGGUUUAUCUAAGUUGGAGUCAGGGCUCUGACACAGUACCCUUGGGCAAAUCAUCUCUCUGGGCUUCAGUGUUCUCAUUUUACAAAUAAUGCCUAAUUCUCAGGGCUGUAUCUCGAGAAUCAAACACAUUUCCUAGAGUCCUGCAGUAACAACGAUGACUAAAAUUUAUUGGUAUGUCUUUUACGCACCAAGCACUUUUCUUUACUCAUUUAAUAUUCAUUAUUCUGCAAGACAGUUACUAGCUCAUUUACAGAUGAGGACACAGAGAAAUUACGUAAUUUGUCCAAGGACACAAGGCUAACAAGUAGUAACGUAUACGGAAAAGCCAACACUGUAUUAAUACUGUCACACUGGGAAGGGGGAACAGCUUGGGGAAAGAUUUUGUGAGGGAGUCUCCAGGAGGGGACCGGCUGAACGUGGGUCAGACUCACAAACACCGUGGCCUUGGCCGCUUUGCGCAGCCGCAGGUACUUCAGCCGGUACUUCUCAUUCUGGCUCUUC